AACGCACAUUGCGCCCAUUAGUAUUCUAGUGGGCAUGCCUGUUCGAGCGUCAUUUCGACCAUUAAGCCCUGUUGCUUAGCGUUGGGAGCCUGCUAGCGUUGUCCAGCGUGCAGCUCCUCAAAGUUAGUGGCGGAGUUAGUGCAUACUCUAGGCGUAGUAAUUUUUAUCUCGCUUCUGUGGUUGCGCUGGCGCCUGCCGUAAAACCCCCAACUUUUAAAGGUUUGACCUCGGAUCAGGUAGGAAUACCCGCUGAACUUAA
rnacentral:misc_RNA from 1 species